rnacentral:rRNA from 1 species
CCUACGGGUGGCAGCAGUGGGGGAUAUUGCACAAUGGAGGGAACUCUGAUGCAGCGACGCCGCGUGAGGGAAGAAGGUUUUCGGAUUGUAAACCUCUGUCUUCGGUGACGAAACGAGACGGUAGCCGAGGAGGAAGCCACGGCUAACUACGUGCCAGCAGCCGCGGUAAUACGGAGGAUUCAAGCGUUAUCCGGAUUUAUUGGGUUUAAAGGGAGCGUAGGCGGGCGUUCAAGUCAGCUGUAAAAUCGCGCGGCUCAACCGCGCCCCGCAGUUGAAACUGGACGCCUUGAGUUCACAACAGGCAGGCGGAAUUCGUGGUGUAGCGGUGAAAUGCAUAGAUAUCACGAGGAACCCCGAUUGCGAAGGCAGCCUGCCGGGGUGCGACUGACGCUGAGGCUCGAAGGUGCGGGUAUCAAACAGGAUUAGAUACCCCUGUAGUC